rnacentral:rRNA from 1 species
UAUAGUGGCGCACGGGUGAGUAACACGUGAAUAAUCUACCUCCGAGUGGGGAAUAACCAAAAGAAAUUUUGGCUAAUACCGCAUAACACUUACGAGUCAAAGCAGCAAUGCGCUUGGAGAGGAGUUCGCGGCAGAUUAGUUAGUUGGCGGGGUAAUGGCCCACCAAGACGAUGAUCUGUAUCCGGCCUGAGAGGGCGCACGGACACACUGGAACUGAAACACGGUCCAG